UACAGAGGGGGCAAGCGUUGUUCGGAAUUACUGGGCGUAAAGGGCGCGUAGGCGGCCGGUUAAGUCAGACGUGAAAUCCCCAGGCUCAACCUGGGAACUGCGUCUGAUACUGGAUGGCUUGAAUUCGGGAGAGGGAUGCAGAAUUCCAGGUGUAGCGGUGAAAUGCGUAGAUAUCUGGAGGAAUACCGGUGGCGAAGGCGGCAGCCUGGACCGACAUUGACGCUGAGGAGCGAAAGCUAGGGGAGCAAACGGG
rnacentral:rRNA from 1 species